AUUGAACGCUGGCGGCAGGCCUAACACAUGCAAGUCGAGCGAGCGGCGGACGGGUGAGUAAUGUCUGGGAAACUGCCUGAUGGAGGGGGAUAACUACUGGAAACGGUAGCUAAUACCGCAUACCAUCAGAUGUGCCCAGAUGGGAUUAGCUGGGAGGUGGGGGAACGGCUCACCUAGGCGACGAUCCCUAGCUGGUCUGAGAGGAUGACCAGCCACACUGGAACUGAGACACGGUCCAGACUCCUACGGGAGGCAGCAGUGGGGAAUAUUGCACAAUGGGCGCAAGCCUGAUGCAUCCAUGCCGCGUGUGUGAAGACGGCCUUCGUGUUGUAAAGCACUUUCAGCGGGGAGGAGUUGCCCGCAGGAGACGCACCGUCUAACUCCGUGCCAGCAGCCGCGGUAAUAC
rnacentral:rRNA from 1 species